CGGCAAGUUCGAAUUGCCCUGCAAAUGCAAUUUUGAGUGGGUUCCAGUCGAUAUGAGGAGCAUAUGUUGAAAAUGCGGUUGCGUGAUCCUUCACCCGAUCUAAAGCGGUGGAGGUGAUUUCAACGCAUGGAACUCCACCAUUAUGGUAAGGUGGAGCGAUUUUCUCAACCCCAAUGCCCUGUCAAGACGAUUCGAGGCCACCAGUGCACAUACCCAUGACACUUGAAUCUUUCGAAGAAAAGGGAUCCGU
rnacentral:lncRNA from 1 species